UGAGCAAUCUGCCCUUCUCAUCGGAAUAAGCGUUGGAAACGACGUCUAAUGCCGAAUACGACCUCCUUUCGCAUGAUCGGAGGUGGAAAGCUCCGGCGGAGAAGGAUGAGCUCGCGGCCUAUCAGCUAGUUGGUGUGGGUAAUGGCCCACCAAGGCGACGACGGGUAGCCGGCCUGAGAGGGUGACCGACCACACUGGGACUGAGACACGGCCCAGACUCCUACGGGAGCAG
rnacentral:rRNA from 1 species